rnacentral:rRNA from 2 species
UCUAAUACCGGAUACAACCACCGGCCGCAUGGUCUGGUGGUGGAAAGCUCCGGCGGUGCAGGAUGAGCCCGCGGCCUAUCAGCUUGUUGGUGAGGUAGAAGCUCACCAAGGCGACGACGGG